UACAGAGGUCCCGAGCGUUGUUCGGAUUCACUGGGCGUAAAGGGUGCGUAGGUGGUUGGGUAAGUCUGAUGUGAAAUCUCCGGGCUCAACCCGGAAAUGGCAUUGGAUACUAUUCGGCUAGAGGUUUGGAGGGGGGACUGGAAUUCUCGGUGUAGCAGUGAAAUGCGUAGAUAUCGAGAGGAACACCAGUGGCGAAGGCGGCUCUCUGGGCCUUACCUGACGCUGAGGAGCGAAAGCGUGGGUAGCGAACAGG
rnacentral:rRNA from 1 species